rnacentral:lncRNA from 1 species
AUAUCUCCAGGCUUGGCUCAUACAACAUCAAACAACUUUAAAAGGGAGCUGCGGACAGAAAAAUAAGGUAAGUGAAAGAAUUCAUAGAAUUUGAAAGAGAAGCUUUGCUCUAGCUGGAUGUGACCUCCGGCAUCCUUGCCAUCAUGUGAGCAUCUCUUCAAGCUGGUAAUAGUUCACUGCGACAACUACUGCUCACCUCCAACCCAUCAUGUAUGAUCAACG